rnacentral:lncRNA from 1 species
ACGCAACGAAAAUUCAGAUAUACAUGGCUUGCACGAGGGUAAGCAACAAUCAAAAGUGAAAGUACUACUACUAUUAUCACCUCCAUACAUGUAUCUUGAUUACAUUUAACCAAAUACAAGCAUACUAUAAUUUACAUCCACUUUUUCCAAAACAUAUGCCAUUUACAUCAUUUAUACACUUCCAUCCCAUUACACUUUUCAUCAUAACCAAAAGAUGAAACAAGGUACCACUAAUAUACGGAUGUCCGCUACCUAGGGCGCUAU